UACGUAGGAGGCGAGCGUUGUCCGGAGUUACUGGGCGUAAAGGGUGCGCAGGCGGUGGCCCGCGUGGGCGGUGAAAGCUCCUGGCUCAACUGGGAGAGGGCCGUCCAGACGGGGUCACUUGAGGGGCGGAGAGGGGCGUGGAAUUCCGGGUGGAGCGGUGAAAUUCGUAGAUAUCGGGAGGAACACCAGUGGCGAAGGCGGCGACCUGGGCCAAUAUUGACGCUGAGGUGCGAAAGCGUGGGGAGCAAACAGG
rnacentral:rRNA from 1 species